AACCGUAGUAUAGUAUCGAGCGCCUAAGUAAACAUAUACGUCGGCCGUAAAGCUCGCUCGAAUAAUGGCUAGUUGGUCGAUAGUGUUGGUACUUGCUCGCAGGUGCCGAUCUAUCCGAUUCGGGUUAAAAGUUAUCGGCGACGUUACGACGUAUAGGCGUCAGCGAUGUCAGUGUCGGCCACCCAUCCGACCCGUCUUGAAACACGGACCAAGGAGUCUAACAUAUGCGCGAGCUAAUGGGUGGAAAACCCAAAAGCGUAAUAAAAGUAAAGGCUGUUUCGGACAGCUAAGGUAUGAUCCUGGUUUACCGAGCGUAUCCGGGCGCAAUACCGUCCCGUCCCGACCGCAUGUCGGUAGGGCGGAGAUAGAGUUACAAGUACCGUGAGGGAAAGUUGGUGAACUAUGCCUGAGCAGAGCGAAGCCAGAGGAAACUCUGGUGGAGGUCGUAGCGGUCNGACG
rnacentral:rRNA from 1 species